UUUGAAAGCUGAGCUGUUGUGAUCAGAUAAAUCAGAUAGCUGGGCAAGAGUGUUCAGUGUUAGGCAAUAUCCCAGAAAAAACACUUCAGUUCCUUUCACUGUCCCUUUCAGCAGGGCUGUUCAUGUAGUCUGUGACUUCAGUUUUGGAUAAGCAGUCAUUUAUAAGGCUAUUUGCAUGUGAAUCCCUAUGGACACCUCUGGCAACACUGGGGCUGACCUACUAAAAGUAGAUCUCCUAGGCUUUCAAUCAUCUUGCCGCACAUAAUAGCUGUAUAAUCCUGCCUGACUGCAAGAAAAUGACUGUACACUGAAGGAAAGGGCAGAUCAAGGUUCUUACUCUAACUGCUCAGGUAACCCAUGCUGGUGGUGAGCAACAGAUCACACAGAAGCUGUGAAGAUCAACUUCCUGACCUGCUGAUACCAUCCACCAAAUUGCUCAAGAGCACAGGUAUGUCUCCUCCUGACUGUAAACAUCUUGGCUGUGGGAAUGAACAGACAAUAAGAACUCUUCUGCCAGAAGCAAGAAAAAUUGCCUCAACAAGACUCAAUUCAUAAUUAUGAUUUCCCCCAUUUGUGCCAUUUAAAUGCAACUAUCUAAAAGACAAAAUGUUUUACAGUUGAACCAAAAUUGAAGAUGUCUUAAUAAUCACUUACAAGAAGUUGAAAAAGUUUGGAGAAGAGCUGAGAUUUUCCCUGUUCCUCUUCCCAGGAAUUCCUGGUUGUCUCUGUUAACAGGAGGAGAAAGGUGACUGUGCAAAAGUGGCUUGGAGAGAUUAGAUUAUAUUAGAUAUAUAUAAAAAGAUAUAUAUUAUAUGUAUAUAUAUUAUAUACAUAUAUAUAUAUUUUCUGGCCUGUGAGGUCUCCUUAAUUUAUUUAGAGUUCUUAAUAAAUGCUCUUUGUGUGCUGA